GAUUCGCUAGCUCAGCUGGUAGAGCACAGCACUUUUAAUGCUGGGGUCCUGGGUUCGAGCCCCAGGCGGAUCA
rnacentral:tRNA from 1 species